rnacentral:sRNA from 1 species
GAACACGAAAACACUUACCGUGCCGUGGU